rnacentral:rRNA from 1 species
CCUACGGGAGGCAGCAGUGAGGAAUAUUGGUCAAUGGCCGUAAGGCUGAACCAGCCAAGUCGCGUGAAGGAAGAAGGAUCUAUGGUUUGUAAACUUCUUUUAUAGGGGAAUAAAGGUAUCCACGUGUGGAUAUUUGCAUGUACCCUAUGAAUAAGCAUCGGCUAACUCCGUGCCAGCAGCCGCGGUAAUACGGAGGAUGCGAGCGUUAUCCGGAUUUAUUGGGUUUAAAGGGUGCGUAGGUGGUUUUUUAAGUCAGCGGUGAAAGUUUGUGGCUCAACCAUAAAAUUGCAGUUGAAACUGGCAGACUUGAGUGUGGUUGAGGUGGGCGGAAUGCGUGGUGUAGCGGUGAAAUGCAUAGAUAUCACGAAGAACGCCGAUUGCGAAGGCAGCUUACUAGGCCAUAACUGACACUGAAGCACGAAAGCGUGGGGAUCAAACAGGAUUAGAUACCCGUGUAGUC